rnacentral:lncRNA from 1 species
GUGGGAGGCUGUGCGCGGCUGGGGUGGGGGUGGGGGACUGCGUGGGUCUGGCGUGGGUCUGGCUUGGCGGCGCUCACCUUCAGCACCAGGAGCUGGAGCAUCCUCCUGGCGCCCGAGGGCAGAUGGGCCCCCUCGCCCUGGAAGUCCCCUACCGUCGCGGGUGAGGCUGGCUGCGUCCGCCCCGGCCAGGCCCCCGCCGCGAGUGCGUUCCUUCCCUCCACCUUUAGCGCCUGGGCCCCCCGCGGCAGGUGCCCCACACUCCUCGUCCCCAGGAGCCCUCGCGGACCCCGGGGUCGGCUCGAGGCAAUGCGCUCCGUCCUGGCAGUAACCAGCCCCUCGCUGCGGGAUCCCUGCCUGCCUGGCCUCGGGCCUCCCGCACCCACCGGAUGCCCGCGCACGCUGAGCAGGCCUUGAGGCGUCGGAGACCACGUGGUCCACCCAACGGCCCAACAACGGAGGCAUGAGACAACAAUCCUUGAAUCAGCUCAGUGGAUCAGCUGACACCACCCACACCGAUAAUCUGCCUCAACCAGUUCUGCCAAACCAACCAGGAAGAGUAAAUAGCAAGAAAAACUCCAACAACCUCUGAUUCCAUCUUCAACCUGGCCAAUCAGCACUCCCCACUUCCCAAGCUCCUACCCGCCCAAUUGUCUUUAAAAACUCUGUUCCUCAAAUGCUCGGAGAGACUGAUUUGAGUAAUAAUAAAACUCCAGUCUCCCACACAGCCGGCUCUGCGUGAAUUAC